CUUAAAUGAAUUGACGGGGCCGCACAAGCGGUGGAGCAUGUGUUAAUUCGACGCAACGCGAAGAACCUUACCAGGGCUUGACAUCCCCUGACCGCGUAUGAAAGUACGUUUUCACCCUCGGGUGACAGGGAGACAGGUGGUGCAUGGUUGUCGUCAGCUCGUGUCGUGAGAUGUUGGGUUAAGUCCCGCAACGAGCGCAACCCCUACGUUUAGUUGCUAACGCGUGAAGGCGAGCACUCUAGACGAACUGCCGUUGACAAAACGGAGGAAGGUGGGAUGACGUCAAAUCAUCAUGCCCCUUAUGUUCUGGGCUACACACGUGCUACAAUGGCCGGUACAGACGGACGCAAAGCCGCGAGGUGGAGCAAAUCCUAAAAAGCCGGUCUCAGUUCGGAUUGCAGGCUGCAAUUCGCCUGCAUGAAGUCGGAAUCGCUAGUAAUCGCAGGUCAGCAUACUGCGGUGAAUACGUUCCCGGGCCUU
rnacentral:rRNA from 1 species